UACGACGGGGGCUAGCGUUGUUCGGCAUUACUGGGCGUAAAGCGCACGUAGGCGGAUUGGUCAGUUAGGGGUGAAAUCCCAGGGCUCAACCCUGGAACUGCCUUUAAUACUGCCAAUCUAGAGUCCGAGAGAGGUGAGUGGAAUUCCGAGUGUAGAGGUGAAAUUCGUAGAUAUUCGGAGGAACACCAGUGGCGAAGGCGGCUCACUGGCUCGGUACUGACGCUGAGGUGCGAAAGCGUGGGGAGCAAACAGG
rnacentral:rRNA from 1 species